rnacentral:rRNA from 1 species
GACGAACGCUGGCGGCGUGCUUAACACAUGCAAGUCGAACGGAAAGGCCUGCUUUCCCUUGUGGAUUGCGGGUACUCGAGUGGCGAACGGGUGAGUAACACGUGAGUGAUCUGCCCCCAACUUGGGUAUAAGCCUGGGAAACUGGGUCUAAUUCCCGAUAGGACUGCAGGGUGGUGCCUGUGGUGGAAAACGAUUUUCUAGUGGUUGGGGAUGAGCUCGCGGCCUAUCAGCUUGUUGGUGGGGUAAUGGCCUACCAAGGCGGCGACGGGUAGCCGGCCUGAGAGGGUGGACGGCCACAUUGGGACUGAGAUACGGCCCAGACUCCUACGGGAGGCAGCAGUGGGGAAUAUUGCACAAUGGGCGGAAGCCUGAUGCAGCGACGCCGCGUGGGGGAUGACGGCCUUCGGGUUGUAAACUCCUUUCGACCGCGAGGAAGCCACAUGGUUGGAAGGGUGGUGACGGUAGUGGUAGAAGAAGCACCGGCUAACUACGUG